rnacentral:rRNA from 1 species
UUAAUGGGUGGUUUUUUAUUUGGUAGUCUAGCUUAUUUAUUGUUUGAUCCUGGCUCAGGACGAACGCUGGCGGCGUGCCUAAUACAUGCAAGUCGAACGAACUCUGGUAUUGAUUGGUGCUUGCAUCAUGAUUUACAUUUGAGUGAGUGGCGAACUGGUGAGUAACACGUGGGAAACCUGCCCAGAAGCGGGGGAUAACACCUGGAAACAGAUGCUAAUACCGCAUAACAACUUGGACCGCAUGGUCCGAGCUUGAAAGAUGGCUUCGGCUAUCACUUUUGGAUGGUCCCGCGGCGUAUUAGCUAGAUGGUGGGGUAACGGCUCACCAUGGCAAUGAUACGUAGCCGACCUGAGAGGGUAAUCGGCCACAUUGGGACUGAGACACGGCCCAAACUCCUACGGGAGGCAGCAGUAGGGAAUCUUCCACAAUGGACGAAAGUCUGAUGGAGCAACGCCGCGUGAGUGAAGAAGGGUUUCGGCUCGUAAAACUCUGUUGUUAAAGAAGAACAUAUCUGAGAGUAACUGUUCAGGUAUUGACGGUAUUUAACCAGAAAGCCACGGCUAACUACGUGCCAGCAGCCGCGGUAAUACGUAGGUGGCAAGCGUUGUCCGGAUUUAUUGGGCGUAAAGCGAGCGCAGGCGGUUUUUUAAGUCUGAUGUGAAAGCCUUCGGCUCAACCGAAGAAGUGCAUCGGAAACUGGGAAACUUGAGUGCAGAAGAGGACAGUGGAACUCCAUGUGUAGCGGUGAAAUGCGUAGAUAUAUGGAAGAACACCAGUGGCGAAGGCGGCUGUCUGGUCUGUAACUGACGCUGAGGCUCGAAAGUAUGGGUAGCAAACAGGAUUAGAUACCCUGGUAGUCCAUACCGUAAACGAUGAAUGCUAAGUGUUGGAGGGUUUCCGCCCUUCCAGUGCUGCAGCUAACGCCACU